rnacentral:rRNA from 1 species
AUUGAACGCUGGCGGCAGGCCUAACACAUGCAAGUCGAGCGGAUGAAGGGAGCUUGCUCCUGGAUUCAGCGGCGGACGGGUGAGUAAUGCCUAGGAAUCUGCCUGGUAGUGGGGGAUAACGUCCGGAAACGGGCGCUAAUACCGCAUACGUCCUGAGGGAGAAAGUGGGGGAUCUUCGGACCUCACGCUACCAGAUGAGCCUAGGUCGGAUUAGCUAGUUGGUGGGGUAAAGGCCUACCAAGGCGACGAUCCGUAACUGGUCUGAGAGGGUGAUCAGUCACACGAGAAGUGAGACGGGGUCGAGACUCCUACGAGAGAGAGGAGUGGAGACUAUCGGAAAAGGCGAGAGAGCGUGAGCCAGACAUGCCGCGUGUGUGAAGAAGGUCUUCGGAGUGUAAAGCACUUUAAGUUGGGAGGAAGGGGAGUAAGUUAAUACCUUGAUGUUUUGACGUUACAAACAGAAUAAGCACCGGCUAACUUCG